UGGGGUAUAUUGGACAAUGGGCGAAAGCCUGAUCCAGCCAUGCCGCGUGUGUGAAGAAGGUCUUCGGAUUGUAAAGCACUUUAAGUUGGGAGGAAGGGCAUUAACCUAAUACGUUAGUGUUUUGACGUUACCGACAGAAUAAGCACCGGCUAACUCUGUGCCAGCAGCCGCGGUAAUACAGAGGGUGCAAGCGUUAAGCGGAAUUACUGGGCGUAAAGCGCGCGUAGGUGGUUUGUUAAGUUGGAUGUGAAAUCCCCGGGCUCAACCUGGGAACUGCAUUCAAAACUGACUGACUAGAGUAUGGUAGAGGGUGGUGGAAUUUCCUGUGUAGCGGUGAAAUGCGUAGAUAUAGGAAGGAACACCAGUGGCGAAGGCGACCACCUGGACUAAUACUGACACUGAGGUGCGAAAGCGUGGGGAGCAAACA
rnacentral:rRNA from 1 species